rnacentral:rRNA from 1 species
CGGAGGAUCCAAGCGUUAUCCGGAAUCAUUGGGUUUAAAGGGUCCGUAGGCGGUUUGGUAAGUCAGCGGUGAAAGCCCAUCGCUUAACGAUGGAACGGCCAUUGAUACUGCCAGACUUGAAUUACUGGGAAGUAACUAGAAUAUGUAGUGUAGCGGUGAAAUGCUUAGAUAUUACAUGGAAUACCAAUUGCGAAGGCAGGUUACUACCAGUGGAUUGACGCUGAUGGACGAAAGCGUGGGGAGCGAACAGGAUUAGAUACCCUGGUAGUCCACGCCGUAAACGAUGGAUACUAGCUGUUGGGAGCAAUCUCAGUGGCUAAGCGAAAGUGAUAAGUAUCCCACCUGGGGAGUACGAACGCAAGUUUG